GGGGCCAUCCCGGCUUACCAACCCGAUGCAAACUGCGAAUACCGGAGAAUGUUAUCACGGGAGACACACGGCGGGUGCUAACGUCCGUCGUGAAGAGGGAAACAACCCAGACCGCCAGCUAAGGUCCCAAAGUCAUGGUUAAGUGGGAAACGAUGUGGGAAGGCCCAGACAGCCAGGAUGUUGGCUUAGAAGCAGCCAUCAUUUAAAGAAAGCGUAAUAGCUCACUGGUCGAGUCGGCCUGCGCGGAAGAUGUAACGGGGCUAAACCAU
rnacentral:rRNA from 3 species